GAUGAACGCUGGCGGCGUGCCUAAUACAUGCAAGUCGAGCGAACGGACGAGAAGCUUGCUUCUCUGAUGUUAGCGGCGGACGGGUGAGUAACACGUGGAUAACCUAUCUAUAAGACUGGGAUAACUUCGGGAAACCGGAGCUAAUACCGGAUAAUAUUUUGAACCGCAUGGUUCAAAAGUGAAAGACGGUCUUGCUGUCACUUAUAGAUGGAUCCGCGCUGCAUUAGCUAGUUGGUAAGGUAACGGCUUACCAAGGCAACGAUGCAUAGCCGACCUGAGAGGGUGAUCGGCCACACUGGAACUGAGACACGGUCCAGACUCCUACGGGAGGCAGCAGUAGGGAAUCUUCCGCAAUGGGCGAAAGCCUGACGAAGCAACGCCGCGUGAGUGAUGAAGGUCUUCGGAUCGUAAAACUCUGUUAUUAGGGAAGAACAUAUGUGUAAGUAACUGUGCACAUCUUGACGGUACCUAAUCAGAAAGCCACGGCUAACUACGUG
rnacentral:rRNA from 1 species